rnacentral:rRNA from 1 species
UACGGAGGGUGCAAGCGUUAUCCGGAUUCACUGGGUUUAAAGGGUGCGUAGGCGGGCAGGUAAGUCAGUGGUGAAAUCUCCGAGCUUAACUCGGAAACUGCCGUUGAUACUAUUUGUCUUGAAUAUUGUGGAGGUAAGCGGGAUAUGUCAUGUAGCGGUGAAAUGCUUAGAUAUGACAUAGAACACCAAUUGCGAAGGCAGCUUACUACACAACGAUUGACGCUGAGGCACGAAAGCGUGGGGGAUCAAACAGG